GGACCUUUAGCUCAGUUGGUCAGAGCUACCGGCUCAUAACCGGUUGGUCGGAGGUUCGAGUCCUCCAAGGUCCACCA
rnacentral:tRNA from 1 species